rnacentral:rRNA from 1 species
CCUACGGGUGGCAGCAGUGAGGAAUAUUGGUCAAUGGACGAGAGUCUGAACCAGCCAAGUAGCGUGAAGGAUGACUGCCCUAUGGGUUGUAAACUUCUUUUAUAUGGGAAUAAAACGUUCCACGUGUGGGAUUUUGUAUGUACCAUAUGAAUAAGGAUCGGCUAACUCCGUGCCAGCAGCCGCGGUAAUACGGAGGAUCCGAGCGUUAUCCGGAUUUAUUGGGUUUAAAGGGAGCGUAGGUGGAUUGUUAAGUCAGUUGUGAAAGUUUGCGGCUCAACCGUAAAAUUGCAGUUGAAACUGGCAGUCUUGAGUACAGUAGAGGUGAGCGGAAUGCGUGGUGUAGCGGUGAAAUGCUUAGAUAUCACGAAGAACUCCGAUUGCGAAGGCAGUUCACUGGACUGCAACUGACACUGAGGCUCGAAAGUGUGGGUAUCAAACAGGAUUAGAUACCCCUGUAGUC